rnacentral:tRNA from 1 species
GGGCCUGUAGCUCACUUGGUAGAGCGCUUGCAUGGCAUGCAAGAGGUAAGGGGUUCGAUCCCCCUCAGGUCCA